CAGCUGGGAAUGUGAUGGCUGUGCAGUCCUGGGCACAGCGUCCAGUUAAGACCCAGAGCUUUUGCUCUCAUGAAGGACUCUUCUGACAACUUCAAGGAAUACGAGACCAUCACCCCCAGUACGAGCAAACUCCAUACAAACUGACAGGCAACAUCGGAGGAGACUCUGAAAUCCCUCUCACAAAAGACAAGCAGCUCCAGCCCUGACAGUCAGAUCCUGAAGUCACCGUGACAGGAGCCGUGUUAGAGCACCCAGUGCUGGGAGCUCCACUCACCAGUGGGACGGUGAGACAGGGACCCACCGCUGACACGUCCCACGUCAGACAGGGAGGAGGAGCACCCGAAGGGAGGGAGCCAGCAUGCCAGCUGUGUGGACGAUCAGAGGCUGACCCGGACGUGUGGAGAAAAAAUCCAGAUGAAUGGGCUCUCUUUCCACGAGUUCUGCCGGGUGAGUUGCUUCAUGUUUUGACAGGCAGUCCCUGCCACUCUCUCCUCAUCAGUGCGUGUCCUUUUUUCUACAGGUUUUGCCAGCCACCUUCCUCUGCACAAUGAUGAUCAAGUAGGAUUCCAGGGCUUUCUCCCAAGGGAUAUCCAAGAUGUAGUCUCCCGGGAAGCACAGAAGCUCCUACUGCCCCGCACACAGCCCAGAGCAGGCAGUGGAGGCGACUCCAGAGCCGGGCACAAACAGAGACAUCCUGCAAGCGAAACC